rnacentral:rRNA from 1 species
CCUACGGGAGGCAGCAGUGGGGAAUAUUGGACAAUGGGCGAAAGCCUGAUCCAGCAAUGCCGCGUGAGUGAUGAAGGCCUUAGGGUUGUAAAGCUCUUUUACCAGGGAUGAUAAUGACAGUACCUGGAGAAUAAGCUCCGGCUAACUCCGUGCCAGCAGCCGCGGUAAUACGGAGGGAGCUAGCGUUGUUCGGAAUUACUGGGCGUAAAGCGUACGUAGGCGGUUAUUCAAGUCAGAGGUGAAAGCCUGGAGCUCAACUCCAGAACUGCCUUUGAAACUAGAUAGCUAGAAUCUUGGAGAGGUGAGUGGAAUUCCGAGUGUAGAGGUGAAAUUCGUAGAUAUUCGGAAGAACACCAGUGGCGAAGGCGACUCACUGGACAAGUAUUGACGCUGAAGUACGAAAGCGUGGGGAGCAAACAGGAUUAGAUACCCUGGUAGUCCACGCCGUAAACGAUGAUAACUAGCUGUUCGGGCUCUACGAGCUUGAGUGGCGCNGCUACGACAUUAAGUUAGUCCGUCCGUCGGGUAGGUACGGUCGGCGAAGAAGUUAAACGUAACGUAAAGUUAAAGUUAGUACGGUUACGUUGAGACGUUGCCGACGGACGACGACGAGGGAGGAGG